GUGAAAAUACAAAAGUAAAAGAGGAUUAAGGGUGUUCCAGAGGAUGUGAGACAGGGGUUGAAAUCCUCAUGCAUGUCCAGGGCAAUGUUGGAGCCUUUUCCGGUGUAUGGAUGACAACAGCACUGGUCAUGACACAAGACUCGCGACUCGAGACGAUGUCCCAACAAGGCGAAAUGGUGUGUUCAGCACAACAGGCCUCUUACAUAUUGAAUGAGGCUCAGACGAGGUUCUCUUUUAUAUGCGUCGCAUUGGAAUCGACUUCCCAAGGGAGCACGUUCUUCACAAAGAUUCAUCUUUCUUUAUUCCUAACAGCUUGUGACUUGAAUGGAAAUGGUGGUUGUGGCAAUGUGAAACAUUCCUUAUCCGUGGCUCAUAGGGGGGCCUUUGGAGUGGUCGCGACACUCCGUCGUGGAGUGAGAGACUGUGAGAGGACCCAUUCCCGACGUAUUGGGAAACACCCGGUGCUCUCGCGAGUGCUGUGUAGUCAUGUUCAAACGGUAUUGUCUUUUUACGCAUUUUCCUGGUUAGAAAAUGUUGAAAGAUCAAACUCUUAUCCCGUCAGUCACGUGUUCUUAAACUCGUUUCAAAGUUGUUUAACCAAUGAAAUGUCACGCGAAGCUGUUAUACGUGCACCUUGAGUGAAAGUUUAUGAUUCAUCUUGCUUACUUCGGGGUGAAAGUACUUUCACAGAGAUUAAAACAAGUAAUUAAAAAUAAAGAGGAAACUUUUAAACUUUGUGUAAGAUUGUUUGGAGGAUUAUGUUUUUUUUUUUGUUGUUUUUUUUUU
rnacentral:lncRNA from 1 species